rnacentral:rRNA from 1 species
GACGAACGCUGGCGGCGUGCUUAACACAUGCAAGUCGAACGGAAAGGCCCUGCUUUUGUUGGGUGCUCGAGUGGCGAACGGGUGAGUAACACGUGAGUAACCUGCCCUUGACUUUGGGAUAACUCCAGGAAACUGGGGCUACUACCGGAUAGGAGCUCCUGCUGCAUGGUGGUCGUUGGAAAGUUUCGGCGGUUGGGGAUGGACUCGCGGCUUACCAGCUUGUUGGUGGAGUAGUUGCUUACCAAGGCUUCGACGGGUAGCCGGCCUGAGAGGGUGACCGGCCACAUGGGGACUGAGAUACGGCCCAGACGGCUACGGGAGGCAACGGUGGGGAGUAUUGCACAAUGGGGGGAAGCCUGAUGCAGAGACGCCGCGUGCGGGAAGACGGCUUUCGGGUUAUGAACAGCUUUGGCCUGAGACGAAGCGUGAGUGACGGUAAUGGGUAAAGAAGCACCGGCUAACUACGUG